rnacentral:rRNA from 1 species
GGAUGCGAUCAUACCAGCACUAAUGCACCGGAUCCCAUCAGAACUCCGCAGUUAAGCGUGCUUGGCGAGAGUAGUACUAGGAUGGGUGACCCCUGGGAAGUCCUCGUGUUGCAUCCC